UAGGGAAUUUUCGUCAAUGGGCGCAAGCCUGAACGAGCGAUGCCGCGUGAGUGAAGAAGGCCUGGUCGUAAGCUCUGUUGCGGGGGAAAAAAGGACAGCAUCAGGAAAUGGGUGCUGACUGAUGGUGCCCCGCCAGAAAGUCACGGCUAACUACGUGCC
rnacentral:rRNA from 1 species